rnacentral:lncRNA from 1 species
ACGGUCACAGCAGCAAUCCUUGUUCUAUUAUCGAUCUAAUGAGUGAUCUCACCUUCCAUCAGCCCUCUCACUUCUUCAAGAUCUUGCAUAGAAGUGCACAAAUGAGCACUUGAUCCAGAAUCUAGAAUCUAACUCGAAGAAGAAGAAAUCGUUAGAUUAGUUCAAUAACAAACAUAUCAAAUGUACCUUCAGAAGGUGCAUCCUUCUUCCUGCUCUUGACAGUGGUCAGGUAGGCUAGACAGUUCCUUCUCUAGUGGCCUUCAACGUUGCAAUGAAAAUACUUUUUCUUAUCAUCGACCUUCUUUGAAACCUAUUUCUUGAGCUUGGCCUCAUUUUUUUGCUUCUUCGCAGGCUUCUUUUUCUUGAAAGAAGACUUUCUUUUGGAGGAAGCCCGCUCCAUAGCCAAAACUGUACCCUUUGAACUCUUCAAGAUGCCAUCUAUUGUUACCAGCA